rnacentral:rRNA from 1 species
GACGAACGCUGGCGGCGUGCUUAGCACAUGCAAGUCGAACGGAAAGGCCCUGCUUUUGUGGGGUGCUCGAGUGGCGAACGGGUGAGUAACACGUGAGUAACCUGCCCUUGACUUUGGGAUAACUUCAGGAAACUGGGGCUAAUACCGGAUAGGAGCUCCUGCUGCAUGGUGGGGGUUGGAAAGUUUCGGCGGUUGGGGAUGGACUCGCGGCUUAUCAGCUUGUUGGUGGGGUAGUGGCUUACCAAGGCUUUGACGGGUAGCCGGCCUGAGAGGGUGACCGGCCACAUUGGGACUGAGAUACGGCCCAGACUCCUACGGGAGGCAGCAGUGGGGAAUAUUGCACAAUGGGCGGAAGCCUGAUGCAGCAACGCCGCGUGCGGGAUGACGGCCUUCGGGUUGUAAACCGCUUUCGCCUGUGACGAAGCGUGAGUGACGGUAAUGGGUAAAGAAGCACCGGCUAACUACGUGCCAGCAGCCGCGGUGAUACGUAGGGUGCGAGCGUUGUCCGGAUUUAUUGGGCGUAAAGGGCUCGUAGGUGGUUGAUCGCGUCGGAAGUGUAAUCUUGGGGCUUAACCCUGAGCGUGCUUUCGAUACGGGUUGACUUGAGGAAGGUAGGGGAGAAUGGAAUUCCUGGUGGAGCGGUGGAAUGCGCAGAUAUCAGGAGGAACACCAGUGGCGAAGGCGGUUCUCUGGGCCUUUCCUGACGCUGAGGAGCGAAAGCGUGGGGAGCGAACAGGCUUAGAUACCCUGGUAGUCCACGCUGUAAACGGUGGGUACUAGGUGUGGGGCCCAUUCCACGGGUUCCGUGCCGUAGCUAACGCUUUAAGUACCCCGCCUGGGGAGUACGGCCGCAAGGCUAAAACUCAAAGGAAUUGACGGGGCCCCGCACAAGCGGCGGAGCAUGCGGAUUAAUUCGAUGCAACGCGUAGAACCUUACCUGGGUUUGACAUGGAUCGGGAGCGCUCAGAGAUGGGUGUGCCUCUUUUGGGGUCGGUUCACAGGUGGUGCAUGGCUGUCGUCAGCUCGUGUCGUGAGAUGUUGGGUUAAGUUCCGCAACGAGCGCAACCCUUGUUCACUGUUGCCAGCACGUUAUGGUGGGGACUCAGUGGAGACCGCCGGGGUCAACUCGGAGGAAGGUGGGGAUGACGUCAAGUCAUCAUGCCCCUUAUGUUCAGGGCUUCACGCAUGCUACAAUGGCUGGUACAGAGAGUGGCGAGCCUGUGAGGGUGAGCGAAUCUCGGAAAGCCGGUCUCAGUUCGGAUUGGGGUCUGCAACUCGACCUCAUGAAGUCGGAGUCGCUAGUAAUCGCAGAUCAGCAACGCUGCGGUGAAUACGUUCCCGGG